ACCCUUUGUGACAUACCUAUAACUGUUGCUUCGGCGGGUAGGGUCUCCGCGACCCUCCCGGCCUCCCGCCUCCGGGCGGGUCGGCGCCCGCCGGAGGAUAACCAAACUCUGAUUUAACGACGUUUCUUCUGAGUGGUACAAGCAAAUAAUCAAAACUUUUAACAACGGAUCUCUUGGUUCUGGCAUCGAUGAAGAACGCAGCGAAAUGCGAUAAGUAAUGUGAAUUGCAGAAUUCAGUGAAUCAUCGAAUCUUUGAACGCACAUUGCGCCCGCCAGCAUUCUGGCGGGCAUGCCUGUUCGAGCGUCAUUUCAACCCUCAAGCUCUGCUUGGUGUUGGGGCCCUACAGCUGAUGUAGGCCCUCAAAGGUAGUGGCGGACCCUCCCGGAGCCUCCUUUGCGUAGUAACUUUACGUCUCGCACUGGGAUCCGGAGGGACUCUUGCCGUAAAACCCCCCAAUUUUCCAAAGGUUGACCUCGGAUCAGGUAGGAAUACCCGCUGAACUUAA
rnacentral:rRNA from 1 species